rnacentral:lncRNA from 1 species
GACUUCGCUGGACUUCUUCUGUAUGGGAACAGUGGCCUUGAAAAUGAGUCGGUCUUCACUUCCAGGCCUGGCUGGCGGGCUUCCCAGGGGGUGCACUGUCCAUCAGAGGUGACUUGGGGACCCCUGGAGGACUCCGGGUCAGCGACUGCAGAGCGCCGGGAUCCUGAAGGCGUCUGGGGCCUGGCCCCUGACGCAUGCGCCGUGCAAUCGCUUCCCUUAGGCUCCCUGCACAGAUGCUCAGAUUUUGCCCUGAUCCCGAGGCGGCCUGGGAAUUCAUUUCCUGCUGACUGCACUUCCGCUUCUGGAAGGUGAUAGGAAAGAAGCCAACGUGAAGACCCCGACCUUCUAAACUUCCUGAUGCCCAUUUUCGGAUUGAGACCCUCGGUUCUUCAUGACGAGCUCUCCGGAAGCCAGACAGCCUGGGUGCACUAGGAGGCCUUGUGGUAUUUCCCAGCAUCCCUUGGGAAUUAUGUGCCUCUUUGUUUUGGAAAGUGUGAUAGUUAACAGUGGUGUCAGCUUUAGGAAGAAAUGCCUGCUGAUUGGUUUAGCACGGUUCGGGUUGUGUCUGGAUGAUGGACAUACAGAAGGGGGAGGACUCACGCUGGGUGUGGGAGACACCAACCAAUGGGCUUCUACCCUGGGUGGAAUCAAAAGGGAAAGAAGGAAGUCUCCUUCUGUUGCUUCGGAGGAGCUCCAGUCUUCACCGUCACCUUUGGGCAUCCGUCUCCAGGCUUCCAGGACAGACCCUUAGGCUUCCUGACAGGAUUUGCAUGGGACUGCGAGGGGAGCUCCAGGCCUUUGACUUGUGACUGGGUCCUUUGGCUCUCCAGCGGGCAGAUGGCCCUUUUGCACUCUUCCACACCUGACUCUGUGGGCGGCCAUUAUAAGCCGACCUCGUAAAUCUCUAGUUAUUUAUCUAUCUAUCUAUCCAUCCAUCAUGUAUCUUAUAUUAAAUCAGUUCCUCUAAUGAACACUGACUGAUACAGAGAGGGAGGGACUACAUCAUCUGGAUAUCACCUUUCCACCUUUUCCAGCUCCUGGUAGCCCCCAGUGUUCUUGGUACGGGGCAGCACUAACUCUGAUACUCACAUAACCUUUCUUUUGUGCAUAUCUGUGUCUGUGUUCAAAUUUCUUCCUUUUACAAGGACAUGAGUUAUAGUGGGUUAGGGCCCACCUCGUGUCUUCAUCUUGACUAUGUCUACAAAGAGCCUAUUCCUAAACAAGGUCACAUUCUGAGGCACUGGGAGGUAGGAUGUCAGUCUGUCUUUGCUGCGGGGAACAGUUCAUAAUGCCACCUCCAGAAACUUCGGACUCACAGCCUCAAAUGUAAUGCCCGGCAUCACAGCUGACCAUGCACUAGAUAUUUCCAGCCCUGACAACAAUAGCUGCCAGAUGUGACAUGGAGAGAUGUGUUUUAUGGAGGUGAGGGGUCCAGGAGACACUAAUCAGGUAUCUGGACCUCAUUGGUCCCACAAGACACGACAACAGAGUUGGAUCAGGAGGGAACCAUAUCCUGAAAAAACCCCACAAGGUACAUGACCCACCUCUGAAUAAUAUAGGACAAACUAUACUUCCAAGAUACAGCUCAGCCCCAUUCAGCAUGAAUUUGAGUCAGCACAGUCAAUUAAUCUUAUCAGUAAUGACUUGCACACCAGAUGAUUCAAUCUGUACACCGGAAACGGCCACUGUUGGUGGUUGUGUUGCCUGGCUCUCCCUUCUGCUGUUUCUUCCCCCACCUGCUCCUUUAAUAUGUUGGCUUAGUUCUCUGCCUCCUCCUUCUGUCCUGGUUUGCUUUUAGCUUCCUUCCCAGUGGAGGUCAAAGGUCACAUAAGGAGAAGAAUCAAAUAGCUUGGUAUAAAACAAAAGAACCUUUAACAAAGCGG